rnacentral:rRNA from 1 species
GAUGAACGCUGGCGGCGUGCUUAACACAUGCAAGUCGAACGGUAAGGCCCCUUCGGGGUACGACGAGUGGCGAACGGGUGAGUAACACGUGGGGAACCUGCCCUUCUCUCUGGGAUAACUCCGGGAAACCGGUGCUAAUACCGGAUACUUCGGUCGGAUCGCAUGGUCUGACCGAGAAAGCUUCAAGCGGAGAAGGAUGGUCCCGCGGCUGAUUAGCUUGUUGGUGGGGUAACGGCUCACCAAGGCAACGAUCAGUAGCCGAGCUGAGAGGCUGAUCGGCCACACUGGGACUGAGACACGGCCCAGACUCCUACGGGAGGCAG